ACCAAAAGCAAAAUUUCUGUGAGAAUACUGGUAGAGUAGCAAGCCAGAUGAUAAUCUUUCUCCACCAAGAAAAAAAGUUUCUCUCUCCUCCAUGUCUUGCGAGCAAGGCUUUCUAUCUGUUCAAGACAUUUCUGUAUAAGAACAAAAUACUUAUAAGCUGCUGGAGUGUGAAGCAGAAAAAACGGUUCACUGCUUAACAAAACAUGAGAAUCCAAACUUCACUAUAAAUCAAAUGAUUUCUGCUCUCCUGUAACAAAAGGUCCUGCAAGGUACAUCACAGGCUUGCAGUGUGCCAUCAUCUCCAGUAAUAAUAAAUGCUAGCUGAUUGGCUGGAAAAUAUAGAAUAUGAACCAAC